GCUUCCACCAUCGCCACGUAGAGUCGCUGACUCUGCACGCUACACGCGGCUCGUGCACGCGCCGCCUCUUCUGCGCGCGGUAUCUGAUCCGUCGCCGAGGGAGAACAAUCCUGCGAGUCAGUCACCACUGCUCAUUGAUCUCAGAGGUCACUGAUGGACAGAGGUCACUAGGAGGUGCCGUCACAAACACAUGGAGGUAAAGCCACAAAUGUUUCCAUGGCAUUUUCGUGGUUGCGCAUAUUUAUAAAUUGCUAAGAGUCAUAAUGUGAUAAUGCGCAUUUCUCAUGGACACUUACCGGUUAAGCAUUAUGUGAUUAGGUUGUUUUCACCGGGUUUGAUAAAAUACAGUUAGUUACUUAGAUGAUAAAUUUAAUUUUUUUUUCUUUUGUAAAUCUCACAAGUGUGUGUUGUGCGUGGAUGAUGUUCGAUUUCCUAACAGCUGUGCAUGUUUCAUGUAUUGCUUUCUGUACCAUCUGUUCUGCCUCGCUGCCAGAUAGAGAGUUCAGCCAAAAUGCUAUUGUGUUUUCACAAACAUUAUGAACAAUUUUAUGCUAAUCCUUCUUAGCCAGUGCUAUAGGAACCGAGCGUUUCCUUAUGGUUAAAUUCUGUUUGUUUAACCACGCCUGAGCAGACUGAUAUAAUUGUUGCUGUUAGUAGAUCACAGAGGCGUCAGGUCAAAGGUCAAAGCGGAUGGAAUAUUUCCGGUAUUUAUGCUACACACCUACAUCUCGUUUUUAUCAACAUUAAACUGAAAAAUAAAUACUAAUUUCCGUAAGCCUAAUUCAGCAAAAUUGCUUUGUAGUUUGAUGUUAACUUAGUAUAAUUCGAGAUAUUUCCUGAAAAUAAAAUAAUCAGUAACGCCUGCUGAGAUGUGAUUGGCCUUAAGACGAAAACGUACAUAGUUUGACAAACAAUGACAAAUGAAACAGUUGCAAGGAAUGAUUAACUAACCGAAAGUCAAACAUGGAGGUCCACACCUGUUACACAUCUGUUAGCAGUCUCAUUUAUCUCAGUGACACAUUACACAGACGGCGCAGGACCCUACAGAAGCGUGUGACGGGAAGUCAUCUGUAUUCAUGGGGGUUAUAUUGCGUCACUCACCCGAGCUGUAAUGCCAUGUGACUUAUUGGUCUGUGUAAGAAACCAACAGUUGGGGAAAACAUGAGUCUUUUUAUUUUACUGUUUAUGGAUUUUGGAAAACGACCUUUCGUACAGUGUGUAACACAAGUGACUGAAAACAUCCUGCAGAGAUUCAAAUCUGAAAACGCACCGUGUAUAAAGUUGUUGUCUCUCAAAAGAAAGAGUUGACUCUGAAUCAUUGAAACGAGUCGUUUUAAAACGAAUCCCAAGCCGUUUCAUGUUGACGGCAAAAUAAAAUAUUGCAUGUAUCGUAAUAUUAGCAUAUUGCCAUCACACUUGUUGGUCUUUUGUCUGAAUUAAAAUGCAACUUCGUUCUUUUCCAUUAGGCCUGCUUUUAUAGCUUUAAAAGCUUACAAACGAUUCUGACUGCAGGGGAUUGGAAAAAUGAAUCAUAGAACAAGGGGAGUGAUUGAAGAAAUGAGGGACAUCGUUAGAAGUGACCUCUGUGACGAUGGUGACAUUCAGAAACAGUAUUGUAAAUUGCAUGCACAAGAUAACAUGCUCGUGAAUUAAGCCUGCGUACUGAUGAAGCCAAAAUAGCUUCGUUUAAAGCCUGUUGCACCACACUAUACACUGCUCACUUCUGGUGCAGUUACAGUAAAGCUAAAUGCAACAAGUUGCAGGUUGCAUACAAUGAUGCAUUGCGACAAAAAUACAAAGCCCCUCAGCGGAACAAGAGCCAGUCAGCUUUUUGUUCAGAAUCAUGUGCCCGUGUUACAUGCUGUAAAAAGAAAUGUUGCGUAUUUAUAAAGCGACUCCAGCAUAUCUGUGUGUGUGUGUGUGUGUGUGUGUGUGAUGCAGCACAUUAACACAGAACUAUUAUUAAACUAUCAGUAGUUGUGACAACCUGUGCAUUACACACUUUAUCUAACAAGAAUUCACGUGGAUCAUGCUGGAAAUGUUUCGCAGUGCGAUGCUAAAUGAACGACCCCAAUAACACACGCCGAUGUUUUUAAAACCCAGAGUAGAGACAGAGAGGAGCACCAGUGCAUUCCCGUCUCUAUCCACAAAAAAAGGAAAUUAGUGCCAAUGAUAAGUAGAGCAUGAUGAAGAUGACGAGCAUAUUCUCACUGUUCUGACAGGUGUGAAGAGUCAUUCUGUACACUGUGCAUGAGCCGCUCUUUUCUUUUCUCUUUCCGAUCCCGCUGUCUUCGGGUUGAGCGGCACAAACAGAACCCUGUCAGAAAGUGCUCCUCAACUGGGACAGACAUUUCUUCUAAGUGUUACACAUCACCUUUGGGAAAGUGAGCCGUGUGUUUGUGAGAGGAAGUGCGUCGCUUGGCUGUCACUCAGACUCUGGAUUAACUGACGGCGGAGGUCUGCUGCAUCAUGGGAAGCUGCUGUACAGGCUGUCUGCCUCAGUGGGCCGCUCAGCUCCCCGGAGAACCGAGCGAUCGACGGCUUCUAGUGGGAGCUGCCGUAACUCAGCAUUCUCAGGGCUCUCAUUAAGAGAACCGCUCAUGGAUACAGAAGAGGGAGAAAAAGUAAUAUUGGAUUUUUUUUGGUGUGUUUCAUCAGUCGAAACUGCGCGCAAAGGGUUUACGAAAUGUAUUAGCGCACAAUAUUGCUGAAAUGUGAGUUUAAAGGGUAGAUGUUAAAGGGUUUGUUCACGGCAAAAUGAAAGUUCUUGAAAUGAAAAAGACCUUUGUUCAUCCUGAGAACACAACCAAAUAUAUCAUACAAACUGAAAUAGACAGCAACGCAACUCAAAUGUUCCCAGAUCCAGAAACCUAAAACAGUCCGUGGCUCAACUUCAAUUUUGCAACACAUUUUUGCAUAAAGAAAACAUAAAUAACAUCAUUUACUCGACCAUUCUUUUCCCCUGAGAGCAUCACAACGCAUACGCACACUUUAACGUUAUAGCGCGCUCAUGGAAAGCGUACGUAUGUGUUGUGGUACUCUCUAAAAUGGCAGAAGAAAUAACUCCUGUAUUUUAGUUAGGGUCAGAUAGCUCUGUGAUUUCUUUGAAAAUAUAUUCUUUUGUGUUCCGAAGAUGAACAAAGGUCUUGCGGGUAUGGAACGACGCGAGGGUCAGUGCUUAAUGACUGAUUUUUUACGUCGCGGUAAACUAAACCUCUGAUAGAAAAAAAUAAAUGUGGCUAUUAUUAACAUGUAAGUUUAAAAGUCAGAUGAUGAAAACAUCAGGCUAAUAUCAACAAGUAUAAAUGUAGAAGCAUGUCUGCUGUAACAUCAAAGUCCAGGACACUAGAGAACCCCUCGGAGGCGUCCCACCGCUGCCACACGGAAAUAUCCUCACUUCAAACUCAAGUGUGCAAAGUGCAGGCUCAGAGGUCUGGCCAGGGAAAUCAAUGCUCAACCCAAAUGUAAUAUCAUUUCUGUGAAGGGUUGCAUUUGUUAAUUGGAUCUUGAUUCGUUGUUUUGUGAGGCUGCCUACAGUAUAAUCAAGUCUUGUAAAUACAAAUAAAACUUCUUCCCACCCUCAUGA